UCCCUGGUGGUCUAGUGCUUAGGACUCAGCACUUUCACCACUGCAGCCCAGGUUCAAUCUCUGGCCUGGGAA
rfam:Sus scrofa isolate TJ Tabasco breed Duroc chromosome 4, whole genome shotgun sequence.